AAGUGCUUCGGUCAGGCAGUAUCUUUGAAAAUAAUUUGGCCAAUGAAAGCCCUGGCAUUGGAUGAAAGUGCUAGCUGCUGGGAAUGCUACCCCUCCUUUUGGUUCUCUUUCAAGUCCUUCAGGUUCAAACAAUACAGAAGUGUAUAAAGUAAGAAUUGAAAGUCUCUUCGCUGCUCUAAUCUCACUCCUCAGAGGUGAUCACUGGACCUGAGUGAGCAGAAGGCUUUUCAGAAUUACAGCCUGAACUAUUUCUUGAGCAAUUUGGGAACUCAUUUCUAAAGCAGUCCUCAGAUUCACACAACGUAGUUUGUGACGGAGUAUGCCCAGAGCAGUGUGGAAGAUGAUCAAAGUAUGACAUUUCUUCUACCCCAGAGGCUGGCAUUUCUGCAGGCACAAAUGAGCUUGGUUUUCAAGCACUGCUCUUUGAACACAAGGAAUUCCUUUAAUGAUCACGCCGGACUAUAUAGACUUUGGAAUCAGACUCUUUGAAUUCCAGCUCUGCCAUUUACCAACUUUGACACUUUGGGGUUUUGGAAAUCUGGAUUGUAGCAGGGCAUUGUGGAUCUGCCUGUUGGUGGAGAACCCUAGACUGCAUGCAGCCAUGCACAUGAUCUGGAGACACAGCAGAGACAAGGUCUUUGUCUGUUGCUCAGGAUGGAGUGUAGUGGUGCCAUAGCACACUGUAAUCUUGAAUUUCUGGACUACUGGCAUACACCACCAUGCUUAGGUUCGGGCCACAACAUCCGUGACUUUACC
rnacentral:lncRNA from 1 species